GGAGGGUGCGAGCGUUAUCCGGAAUUACUGGGUUUAAAGGGUGCGUAGGCGGCCAUGUAAGUCAGGAGUGAAAGUUUGCGGCUCAACCGUAAAAUUGCUUUUGAUACUGCAUGGCUGGAAUCAGGAUGAGGUCAGCGGAAUGUGGCAUGUAGCGGUGAAAUGCAUAGAUAUGCCAUAGAACACCAAUUGCGAAGGCAGCUGGCUAGACCUGUAUUGACGCUGAGGCACGAAAGCGUGGGGAGCGAACAGGAUUAGAUACCCUGGUAGUCCACGCCCUAAACGAUGCUUACUCGACGUAUGAAGCUUGUCUUUGUGCGUCCAAGGGAAACCGUUAAGUAAGCCACCUGGGGAGUACGACCGCAAGGUUG
rnacentral:rRNA from 1 species